AGAGAGAAAUAUUAAGGAGGGAUAGCCGGGUAGCCCUUGUCUGCUAGGCACAGGAGCAGACCUCCUGGUGGUGUGUAGACUCUCCUGGUUUUGAUGCAGUCUGCUACUGGCAACUAUUCAUUGAAAGACAGAGCUGGUGGCAGAUGCUAGGUACCAGGAUCACCUGUGGGAGGACUCUGGGAGAAGGAAGGGGGUGGUUGUAUGCAUGGGAUUCCACACAAGGUUUAUCCGAGAAAGAGGUCAUAAGUUCACAGAAGUGGGGGCCCUUCACUUCACCUUCUUGCUUUCUAGUUUGUUGUCAUAGGUGACAAAGGCUUGAUUCUUAUGGUUGUGCCCAGUAGGAGGACUCUUUCUGCUUCACAGCUCCACUCAAACAGGAUAAUGAAAUGUUCAGAAUAAAUGUCUUUUUGUUUCCCCUGUCUUUUAUCCAGUAUCAUGAUAGAAGUAUAAUGAUCAUCGGCUUCUGUCUUAAGCUGGGAAAACCCAUUAAAAGGCCACCAUUACCACCACUGCCCCCUAAUCAACACAGUUUUGAUUUGUAGUUGUAACUGUGAUGUGCCACCAGAUAUCCAAACCUCCCUCUCUCAAAAAACUAUGGUGUUAACCCCUUCUCCCCCCACCCCACCAGCCACCCAUGUGAAUGAACAGUGAGCUGCACCUAGAGUUCAGGGAACAGUUUGCGAGUGUGCAGGUAGGUCUCCUAGCUGUUCAUACCCUGCGAUUGUCCUACCCAGACCUACCAGUUCAUUUACUCAGAGCAGUACAGGAUACUGUCAAGUAACUGCAAUUACAGAUGUGUGGGCAGAUGUGAAGCCCAUGAACAUGUACUUAUUAUUUUAUUUUUAUGUUUUUAUUUGUACGAGUGGUUUGUUAGCAUGUAUGUAUGUGCGCCAUGUGUAGGCCUGAUGCCCUUGGAGGAGAGAAGAGGGUGUUGGAUACCCUGGAGCUGGAAUUACAGACAGUUGUGAGCUGUCAUGUGGGUGCUGGAAAUAAAACCUGGGAAUGGGGGUCCUCUGGAAGAAUAGCCAGUGCUCUUAACCAUCAAGCCAUCUUUCCAUGCUUAUUUAAUUUUAAUGUGUAUGAGUGUGUUGAAUGUCUGUGCAUGCAGUGUCUAGGGAGGCCAGAAGAGGGCGUCUGUUACUGGCCCUGGGAUUACAGGUGGUUGUGAGCCCCUAUGUGGGUGCUGGAACUGAAUCCAGGCUCUCUGCAAGAGCAGUGGGUGCUUUUAACUAUUAAGCCAUCUCCCCAACCACCACUCAAAAUUAUUUAUUUCUAUUUUAUGUGUAAAAAGUGUUUUAACUGCAUGUAUGUCUGUGUAUCACGUGUGCUUGGUGCCUAAAGAGACAGAAGUGGUAAUGAAUCCCCCGGAACAGGAGUUACAAGCAGUUUUGAACCACCAUAUGUGUGCUCAGAAGCAAGCCAGACCUGCAAGAGCAACAAAUGCUUUUAGCUACUGAGACAUCUCUUGAACCCCUGAAGAGUCCAUGUUUUUGUUUUUGACCUGAAACUCACUAUGUAGACCAGGCUGGCCUUGAACUCCUAGGGACCCACCUGCCUCUGCUUCCUCUGUGCUGGGAGGAGAGGUGGUUCCGUGUUUUGAAGGACUCAGGAUGCAUCAGCAGAACCUGUGCAUAUUGUUCUGUGUGUGCUCUAUGUGUACAUAAACUAUAACUUAAUUAAAAGAUACAAUUUAUUCC
rnacentral:lncRNA from 1 species